rnacentral:misc_RNA from 1 species
UUCGGCAUUGACAAUUUUAAAAGGGUUUUUUACAUUGGUCCCCUUAGUAUCGCCACACUACUUGUUACUACCCUUAGUUUUUCUUGUUACUCAGUUUUACCCAACACUGAUUCCCUUUGCUCACAAAUGCGCCUGGACGCCGUCUCCGUUCACUUUAACGUUACUUACAGGAUGGACCCACUACAAACUUUCACUAUCUUCUGCGCAGCAGCCUCUUCUUCCCCGAUCCCGACUCCAACUCUCCCUCUCUCCUUCGCCUCGGCGGCACGGCAGCCUGCUUCUUCACCGGGGUGGCUGCUUCUUCACCGGCGCGGCGGCCUGCUUCUUCACCCGCGCGGCGGCCUACUUCUUCGACGACGCGGAGGCCUGCGGCGGACGCGACGCGGCGGCCUUCCGGGCGGUCGGAUCCGCGGACGAACGGAUCUCCGGCGCCUGUCAGAUCUUCGAACGCGGCGCGGUGGCCUACCGGGCGGACGGAUCCACGGAUGAACGGAUCUCCGGCGUCACGGCUUGCUUCUUCACCGGCGCCGCGGCCUGAUUCUUCGACGGCACAGCGGCCUGCCGGUCUUCUCCAGGCGGGCGGACGCGGCAGCCUGCCGGUCUUCUCCAGGCGGGCAGACGCGGCAGCCUGCCGGUCUUCUCCAGAGCUCGGAUUCCAAAUCGGUGAUUACUUGAGCGUUGCAAUCAUGUAGAUGGUGCCCGCACCUGAUGUAAUUGAUGUAAUGUCAAAAGGGCUCUGGUUGCAACAGUAAGGCAUGAUUCUCUGUUAGCACUAGGAACUGGA